AACGAACGCUGGCGGCAUGCCUAACACAUGCAAGUCGAACGAGAUCUUCGGGUCUAGUGGCGCACGGGUGCGUAACGCGUGGGAAUCUGCCCUUUGGUUCGGAAUAACAGUUGGAAACGACUGCUAAUACCGGAUGAUGACGAAAGUCCAAAGAUUUAUCGCCAGAGGAUGAGCCCGCGUAGGAUUAGAUAGUUGGUGUGGUAAAGGCGCACCAAGGCGACGAUCCUUAGCUGGUCUGAGAGGAUGAUCAGCCACACUGGGACUGAGACACGGCCCAGACUCCUGCGGGAGGCAGCAGUGGGGAAUAUUGGACAAGGGGCGAAAGCCUGAUCCAGCAAUGCCGCGUGAGUGAUGAAGGCCUUAGGGUUGUAAAGCUCUUUUACCCGGGAUGAUAAUGACAGUACCGGGAGAAUAAGCUCCGGCUAACUCCGUGCCAGCCGCCGCCGUAACAC
rnacentral:rRNA from 1 species